rnacentral:rRNA from 1 species
CCUACGGGGGGCAGCAGUGAGGAAUUUUCCGCAAUGGGCGAAAGCCUGACGGAGCGACACCGCGUGAAGGAUGAAGCUUUUCGGAGUGUAAACUUCUUUUAUGUGUGAAGAUUAUGACGGUAACAUAUGAAUAAGCACCGGCUAACUACGUGCCAGCAGCCGCGGUAAUACGUAGGGUGCAAGCGUUAUUCGGAUUUACUGGGCGUAAAGAGUGUGUAGGCGGUUUUGUAAGUUAGAGGUUAAAUAUACAGGCUCAACCUGUCUGCUGCAUCUAAGACUGCAAGACUUGAGAGUGGAAGAGGCAAGUGGAAUUUCUGGUGGAGCGGUUAAAUGCGUAGAUAUCAGAAGGAACACCAAUGGCGAAGGCAGCUUGCUGGGCCAUUUCUGACGCUGAGACACGAAAGCGUGGGGAGCGAUCGGGAUUAGAUACCCGUGUANUC